rnacentral:rRNA from 1 species
GUGAUGUACUCCUACGGGAGGCAGCAGUGGGGAAUAUUGCACAAUGGGCGCAAGCCUGAUGCAGCCAUGCCGCGUGUAUGAAGAAGGCCUUCGGGUUGUAAAGUACUUUCAGCAGUGAGGAAGGCGGGAGUAUUAACGNGCUGCNAUUUGACGUUAGCUGCAGAAGAAGCACCGGCUAACUCCGUGCCAGCAGCCGCGGUAAUACGGAGGGUGCGAGCGUUAAUCGGAAUUACUGGGCGUAAAGCGCAUGCAGGUGGUUUGUUAAGUCAGAUGUGAAAGCCCGGGGCUCAACCUCGGAAUAGCAUUUGAAACUGGCAGACUAGAGUACUGUAGAGGGGGUAGAAUUUCAGGUGUAGCGGUGAAAUGCGUAGAGAUCUGAAGGAAUACCGGUGGCGAAGGCGGCCCCCUGGACAGAUACUGACACUCAGAUGCGAAAGCGUGGGGAGCAAACAGGAUUAGAUACCCUGGUAG